rnacentral:rRNA from 1 species
GGCCAGUGUUGCGUGUGGCUCUCUGAGUCUGCGUAUUCGCUUGGUCAUCCGUAUGGGAAGCUCGUUCGGCCUUCACUGGUCGGCUAGUGGAUCAUACACUUUACUUUGAAAAAAUUAGAGUGUUUCAGGCAGGCAAUUGCUUGGAUACUUCAGCAUGGAAUAAUGGAAUAGGACUUUGACCUAUUUGUUGGUUUUUCUCUCAAGGUCAAGGUA